UGCGGUGAUGAUAAGAUUGAUUAAUCCCAGCUCAUUAUGAGACCUUCUUUGUGUGAGGUCAGGGAAAAUAAUUGUUUCUCAUAUCUAUCUGAGCUCUUCC